GUCAGUGACCUACACUACUGGUGGUGAGGAUGAACAGUAUAGGUUGCAUGAAAGGAACAGUCCACACAACACUAGUGUGCUGGGAUUACUGGUAAAUCAGAUGAGUAAAAAAUUUACUGUUGAAGAAUGGAGCAGGACUGACUAAGAAGAUGCAGGUGCAAGCCCAUACUGGACACAAAGGGAGAAAAAAGGUUAACUGGACAACCUGGACAGAACAGCAAAGAGGGACAUCAAAAAGCGGAGACGGCACCACCAGAGACAGGCUUUGGCUACUCGGCUGAAAGAACUCUCGGCCAAAGAGAAGCUGCUGGUUGUCGGGGCAACUGAGGACAUGAUGUCUGAUAUGGAGACUGACCCUGGUGGAUUUUUGGGAGCCAAACACUCUUAUGUGGAGAAGAGGCCUCGCCAAAAUGAAAUCCGUUCCACUCAUUCACGACCACCACAGCCCUACCCUGGACACCUGAUUGCUCAGAACAUUAAAGAGAAGAGAAGUUGUGAUUUACUGGGGCAACUGAGGACAUGAUGUAUUAUGGAUUAUGUAUGGGGUGGAUACUGAUGCAGUGGACCCCGGUGGAUUUUGGUUUGCUGAUCAAAUUAGCUGACCAGUGAAGGACACUUGAACUGGACUGACUUCACACACACACACACAGACACAAAUUCAAGUCUCAAAUGUUGCUACCAGACUCUCCACUUUGUAUCGUUUUCAAUUUGUAAUACGACUGUUUAUAGCCUCAGUUACAGGCGUUC